UACUGGGGUGCUAAAUUAGCUGAGAUCAUACCCACAAACCUGAUCUGGAUAAUGCUAGCGUAGGGAUUUUUU
rnacentral:ncRNA from 1 species